UUUAUAUUUAUAUUUAUAUAGUCCGGCUAUCGUGAUUUUAAAAGCACAAAAUACUUGGUGCUUGUAAGUUUUCUGCCGUUAGAAUAACCCUUUUGAUCAUUUCUACCUGUUAGAUCAUACUAUUCAAUCAACCACCCGCUCAACCUUGGAAAACCACUAUCAUUCUAAUCGCACAUCCCUUAAUCGAAAUGAAUGUCGAAACCUAUUAGCACCAAUGACUUAAUACUUUUAAAAACAUAGGAGCUUAAUUCUCUCUCUCUCUCUCUCUCUCUCUCUCUCUCGCUCUCUCUCUCUCUCUCUCUCUCUCUCUAUAUAUAUAUAUAUAUGUAUAUAUAUAUAUAUAUAUGUAUAUAUGUAUAUAUAUAUGUAUAUGUAUAUAUGUAUAUGUAUAAGCUGGAAUACUAUCAGUAGCAAACGGGCUCCGUUGUCAUCCAUUUGUUUUCGAUGAUGGAACCUCCAAAUCAACGAUCGGCACCGUUGAACAUGAUCUAUACCACUUGAAGUAUCUAGAAAUCAAAUUUCAUACUUUUUUGAUAUUGUUUUCUUAUCCAUCGAGUCGACACAAAAAUGAACGGCUGAAAAUAAAUAUUCUUUAAAAAAUGAUGAUAGGAGUCUUGUAGUCAAGAUCAAGAGUAUAAACCUUGUUUUAAAUAGUUUAAAGAAUUUUCUAACAAAAAUUCAAUUGAUUUGGAUAUCUUUACGCUGUUAAACGAGAAAACGCCUCAUAUCGACCAUUAAAAUUACAAAUUUUGAAACUCUUUGAUCAUUAGGCAAAUGAUGUCAAAAAGAUUUGAAAUUUAAUUUCUAAACACUUCGAGUGGUAUAGAUCAUGUUCAAAGAUGCCGAUCGUCGAUUUGGAUGCUCUAUCAUCGAAAACAAAUGGAUGACAACGGAGCCCGUUUGCUAUCGAUAGUAUUCUAGCUCAACUCUAUAUAUAUAAUGAUCUUGUGUGUGUGUGUGUGUAUAUAUAUAUAUAUAUAUAUAUAUAUAUAUAUAUAUAUAUAUAUAGUUGAGUUGGAAUGCUGUAAGUACCAAAGAGGCUUCGUUUCCACAUGCUUAUUUUUAAUGAUGGAGCCUCCAAAUCGAUAAUCGGCACCGUUGAAUAUGAUCUAUACAAUUUGAAGAAUUUAGAAGCUAAAUAUCAUAUUUUUUUGAUAUUAUUUUCUUUUCCACCAUGUAGUAUUUGGUCACAAAAUUGAAUGGCUGAAAUUGGAUAUCCUUUAAAAAAUAAUGAUAAGAGUCUUGUAAUCAAGAUAAAGAGUGUAGAUCUUAUUCAAAAUAGUUUAUAGAAUUUUCUAAUUAAAAUUUAAUUGAUUUCGAUAUCCUUACACCACUAAAGGAGAAAACGUCUUAUAUUAACCAUUGAAAUUAUAAAUAUUGAAACCUUUGAUCAUUAGGCUAAUAAUGUCGAACAAAUUUAAAUGUUUGUUUUUAGAUACUUCAAGUGGUGUAGAUCAUAUUCAACAGUGUCGAUCAUAAAUUUGAAAGCUCGAUAUUUGAAAAUAAAUAAGUGACAACAGAGCCUAUUUACUAUUAAUAACGUUCCAACUAAACUCUCUCUCUCUCACACACACACUCUCUCUCUCUAUAUAUAUACACCAACUAAAAGAUGUUAAUUAUAACCAAGUUACUUGAGAGAGAUUUAUUUUGAUUAAUUUACACCAAAUUGUUAAUUAGUAAAUAUUUUUCUUAUUUGUUUAUUUAUAAGAGCACACCCAUAAUACUAAGUCUAGUCAUACACAAGUAACCAACUAAUUAAUUAUUUUUGACAUCGUCAUCCUAAUUAUGUGUUCAAAUUGUCCCAAGCAAUAUCCAAAACCCUAACCCCCUCAUGCACUAAUGGAUCCAUCACACAAAUUAAGCCCACACAUAAAUUGGGAACUUAGGAUGCAAAUGGAUCUGGGUUGGUGGAGACCCUAACCCAAUCCAUCCGGAAUAGAGCAGUAAGUAGGAGCCAAACAUAUUAAAAAAACAACUCAUCCUGAAUCCGCACCAAUCCGCUCAAAAAUGUGCGAAAAAUUUGCUUUCGUCAGACUUGCCCUGAAUGGAGCAGUAAGUAGUUGAUGCUAACUAUUUAUCUCCAAAGUUCGAGUUGUUAGAAAUAUGCAAUCAAUUCAUUUAAAGUAUACAGAUACUGAAUCCACUGGUUUUAAUUGUGAUUCGGCCCAAUCCGCCUCAAGUCAUUUUUAGCUAGCGUAACUCGUCACAACCCAGCCUCACACUACAGGACAGUAUAUACUGGCCCCUUUAAGCCAACAUGAAGAAAAAUCGGAUAAAAUCCAACCGACACCAAAUCCGGCCCAGCUUGCCAAACUUGGGAUCCGCCCCGUUUGCAUUCCUAGACACAAA
rnacentral:lncRNA from 1 species